CUCAGCAUUUGUUUUUAUGCAAAAGUUUAUCCUAAGUUGUAAUCUCUAAAACUUCUCUUUCCUCAUCGUUUUUGUGGGAGAUUCUCUGCUGGAGACUCUUGCAAGGGCGUAAAACAUGUGUGAUAUUGGACAUGGAAGAUUACACCAUCCCUGCUGGUCUCUCUCUUAAUUUGAUCUAUCAGAAAAUCCAGAAUGCAUUGUUUGACUCCGGUUAUCGUAGGACGGAGGUCUGGGCUUGGGUUAAUACAUGGUCGGAUGAAAUGUGGGACGAAUUUAUGGGCACCGGAUUUCGUGUCUUUCCGCAAACCGAAGUGGUUCAAAAGAAGAGACUGGAAAUGAUUAUGGUGGACCUUCUUUUCUGGUUAUCGGAAAGUUCAAAUGUGCUCAUACUUUCAAAAAACCACGAAAACAUCGAGCAAAACCACUUGUUCUCCCGUUUUUGUAAAGUUUUGGAAGACAGAGAUUGCUAUUUGGCCUCCGCAAAGCCUGAGGCAUUUAUAAACGAAAGCACAAUUGUAGAGAGAUCAUACUACUUAUUCAGCUGAUCCUAGAGUUUUUCGAAUCAACUUGGAAGGCCUCAAAUAUGAAUAUGGUGGUGGUGAUCUUUUUUUACUUGAAGGUAGUGUGAAUCAAAGAAAUUACUUCUAGUCUUGAGUGGCUUUGUGGGUAGAAUACUUCUGAUUACCUCUCGGCUUCUUUGUUUCCCUUGACUAUUUUUGUAGACCUAUGGAAUCCUCCGAAUCUUUUGGUGAAAUAGUCAACUUUUUGUGUAUCUUUGAGUUCCAGGAUCACAUAUUUUUAUAAAUCCUAGUAUUCUACAGGAUCUUUUGAAUACCACUAAAACAAGGCUCCCACAAAUGAACAUGGCAAUCAAUAUCACCUCCUCCAGUCGCUAGAUACCGGCCAUCAGAGCUAACCGCUAGUGUUUAGGGAUUGUUUGCUAUACCUUUCAUUCCAACAUUCCUCGAAUUUCAACCCGUGAGACCUCAAACCUUACUCGCUUGGCCAUUUGUACUCUUCGCUUAAUUUUACCAGAAGAUACAUCCCAAUGCAGGAUAGUACCGUCUUUUAAAACUGAUGAGAACCCUCGUGAAUCGUCAUCUGAUAGAGCUACUGCUGUAAGCCUGUAACAGACUCUUUGUGUUUGACAAUAAAUAACACGAAACUCAUCAGUCAUCACUACUCCGUGCUUCUUGAAAACUGUAUUGGUAAAGUUGUGAAUAUGUUUGCAAUAUUGUGGAUUGUUUGUCCACCACAAUAUAUUCUCCGAGCUUUUGGCAAGAGAUGAGAUUGGAAGAUGGAGGAGAAGAAGAGAUAAAAUUAAUAGGGAGGGAUAAGAAUUUAACUUUGAUUAAGUACUUGAAGGACUUGGUAUGCUCAUGCAAAUGUUGGUAACCUCCUUCUUUGACGGAUUUUGCAAGUCUUUGUAUUAAAAUUUAAUUAAAAAUCAUCUGAUGGUUUUUGUUAGGAUUUAAUAUGAUCCCAAUACUAAAGACCCAUCGAAUCCUCUCACUUAAAUCAAGAAAGAAAAGUUUGUUUUCUUCGAGAAUUAUUGUUAUUUGAUGACGCAUAUACUCUUCAUUGAAUUUCUGUGUAGCUUAUAUAUAAAGGAAAGAUGAAGACUGCUGAAUUAAAUCCUAUAAACUAAUUGAGCAAAGGAAGGUUAAAAGCAUAAACUUAAGCACCGGUUCAUAAUAUAAGCUACGGUCCAAACUUACAUUAUUUAAAUAUUUUACGUUUUAAGAAAAGUCCUACGAGUUAUUCAUAUUCCAUCCCAUCCUAGAAGUUGAUGUGUGAAGAUGGAUUCUAGAAGAACUUGGAGCAUGAAUUUAAGAAGUAUAAUUGUGGGCGAGAAGUGGGUUAAUUUCAGGUUAAUUAAGAAGGUGGUUUAAGUUUAAGUGGCGGACUAGCCCUGGGCAUAUUAACCGAACCCGAAACCCGAAUCCGAACCCGAACCAACUUGGGCAUAUUAACCGAAUCCGAACCCGACCUGAACUAGGGGUUUGGUUCGGGUUUGGGAAGUA